UACGAAGGGGGCUAGCGUUGUUCGGAAUUACUGGGCGUAAAGGGCGCGCAGGCGGCCCUCCAAGUCAGGCGUGAAAGCCCCGGGCUCAACCCGGGAAUAGCGCUUGAGACUGGGGGGCUUGAGUUCGGGAGAGGAGAGUGGAAUUCCCAGUGUAGAGGUGAAAUUCGUAGAUAUUGGGGAAGAACACCGGUGGCGAAGGCGGCUCUCUGGACCGACACUGACGCUGAGGCGCGGAAAGCGUGGGGAGCAAACAGG
rnacentral:rRNA from 1 species